rnacentral:rRNA from 1 species
UGGGGAAUCUUGCACAAUGGGCGAAAGCCUGAUGCAGCGACGCCGCGUGCGGGAUGAAGGCCUUCGGGUUGUAAACCGCUUUCAGCAGGGACGAGGCCGCAAGGUGACGGUACCUGCAGAAGAAGCCCCGGCUAACUACGUGCCAGCAGCCGCGGUAAUACGUAGGGGGCAAGCGUUAUCCGGAUUCAUUGGGCGUAAAGCGCGCGUAGGCGGUUUGUUAGGUCAGGAGUUAAAUCUGGGGGCUCAACCCCUAUCCGCUCCUGAUACCGGCAGGCUUGAGUCUGGUAGGGGAAGGCGGAAUUCCAAGUGUAGCGAUGAAAUGCGCAGAUAUUUGGAAGAACACCAGUGGCGAAGGCGGCUCACUGGACCAUUACUGACGCUGAGGUGCGAAAGCGUGGGGAGCAAACAGG